GAAAGAGCUUAAGGAGAAGCUCUGACAAGGGAUAGACAGUUUACUUAUGGAAACAAGCAGAAAAUUAAAUCUGGUCUCUGCCCAGCAAGCAUCUCACCUCCCACCAUAGCGUCUGGCAGAGAAGUGAGCCAAGGUGGCCCCUGGCGCAGCAAAUGUUUGGCACAUCCAUUUGCACAGGAGGGGGAAGAAGGCGCAUUCUCAAACACCCUUCCCAUCACCUUUCAGGAUCUUAGGUGCCUUCUCUACAGCCAUGGCACAAACCUUUACCACUAGGGGGCGGCUAGACAUUUCGAUUGGCUACCAGGCAAGCGGCCAGCUCAGGACAGGAGCAGUGCUCUGUGAAAGAAUGGAUUCCUGGUUUGUUCUAAGUACAAACAAGGGGGAAAUGCUUCUGCAGGGUUAAAUGAGGUUGACACGCUCCCCGCGGCUGACCAGACAGUCCCUCCUAACUCUUACCCACCCUGGGCAGCUCUCUCAGCGCGGUGUGGGGCGGGAGUGGGAGCUGAUGGGGGGUGCUCUCUAUUCAGACUCUACUUGUUCUAGACUGAGUCACUGGUGGGGGCAGCGGUGUUUGAAAGUGGGCAUCACUCUUGGGCUCCCACAUUGACUGUAGUUUUACGGAAUGUUUGGCUCUCUGCGUGAUGUUUUUACUUACCAAAGACACAGACCUGGGCUUCCUGGGGUCCCCCUUCUGCAGCUGUGAUAAUCAGCAGUCUUCCCAGGACAGAGUCAGGUUCUGUUGCCCAGGCUGGAGUGCUGUGGCAUGAUCUCGGCUCACUGCAACCUCCGCCUCCCGGGUUCAAGCGAUUCUCCUGCCUCAGCCUCCUGAGUAGCUGGGAGUACAGUGGCACGGACCAGGCAGGUUUCUCACCAGCCAAGCCCCAAUGCCGCCUUUCAAGUCUGUUCUUGUUUCCCUAGACCCCUUUUCUUCUUUUUCCCAAACCCCAGACGUUCUGCUGGUGUCACCUCUCUUAAUCCUUGAGAUCACUGUGAUCAAGUCUUUCUUCCUGCCCAAGACUAGUUUUAGGAGAGGAAGCCCUGCUAUAUCACUUGGGCUGGUGCAACUCACCGCAGGCUCACUGCAUCCUCAAACUCCUGGGCUCAAACGGUCCUCUCACCUCAGCCUCCUGUGUAGCUAGGACUAUUCCCUGCCAGUGUGCCCAGCCUCAAUCUGCUUUUACAAACUGAAAGAUCAUGGGAGAGUCACAUCUUUCUGGGAAGGAGAAUUAGAAGGAGGAAGUAAAUGUCUUCCUUGCCAAAUUGUGGUAAGAGAGAGUGACGAUGUUGUUGGGGUGAAGGUAGGAAGUGAUUUUCUCACUAAGAAGAGGGUCCUGGCCCAUAUUUUUACUUCAGCUGCUCAAAUGACAAGUUUAAAUAAGGAAAAAGAUUCCAAAAAAGGAAUUCAGGAACAUUUCCUGUGGGACCAGGCUGUGCUGCCAUUGAUCACAACUGGCUUUCUGGAGAAUUCUGCUGUGCUUCUGUGAUCUCGUUGUGGGCCUCAUGCUGGAAGCUCUGCUACUCUCCCAGUGGGGACUCCGCUUCUCAUUUCCUGGGCCUUCUGUUCAUGAUUUAUGGAUGAGACAGAGGAUGAUGUUGGCUCCAUCUGGAAAGUGGGUCAGCCAGUCUUUGAGGAGACACCUUGGAGGCCUAGGAAUAGUGCUGUGGAUACAGAUGACAUAAGUUUAGAGACAGAUAGGAGAGUGAAGAAAGGACUUGACCCUCAGAAAGUGAAAUUCAACUUCAGCCUGAAGUGGAACACUGCUCAAGAUAAAGGCUCUGCAAAAUGUACUGUAAAUGAUUCACAACCGUUAAUGCAAAGAUCCAGGUGAAGAAAUAUCCUGAAGAAAAACCCGUCCUGAUCUCAAAUGCUACCCCCAGAGGCCUGCCAGAGCACAGAACUUUCCACAGGCAAAUUGCUGGACCACUGGCUAAGGACAGUAAGAAGGGCUGGCCAUGUUAUUCAGGAGGCAAAGUGUGUUGGCACCUAUGGAGACGUUUGUACCAUUGGCUUAUCAGAUGUGUCAGCCCAGUGACUUGCAAAGGGUGAGGGGUGGUCAUGUAGCCCAUGAGACUCAUUCAUUUGGGGUCAAGACCACAGAAGAAAUGGUAAUUGAUAAUGAUUUAUUUCCUUCCUUUCCCUUCCCUUUCUGUUCCUUUCUUUCAUUUCUUUAAUUGACCUCAGGACCUCUGAUUAACCAUAAUCCUUGGUUCCAUACACUUUCAUCAUUGGUCCAUUUAUGAUCUCAUUUAUUUAAUUAUUUUAAUUAGACAACCAUGAGUCCACCACCUAGUACAAAAACUAGGACAUCGACAAUAUUUUACAUCUAACUCUAUAGUCCUUCCCUUUCUCAUCCUCAUACCUCACUCCACCCAAGGAGCUCAGCCACCUCCCGGAAUCCUGUAUUCACAAUUUCCUUGCUUUUGUUUUUAAAAGUGUGAGUAUCCCACAGUUUAUGUAACUGUUCUCCUGUUGAUGAGCCCUUAUGUUGUUUUUAGGUUUUUCAUAUUUAAAUAGUGAUGUAGCAAUAUUAUUGUACAUAUCACAGGGUAUACCUGUGUGAGAGUUUCUUUUGCGUAUAUAUCGAGAUGGAAAUUGCUCAUAGAGUAGGUGAAUACUUGACAUCACAAGAUAAUGCAAAUUAUCUUCCAAAACAUACUAAUUUUACAUUUCUACCAGCAGAGUACAAUUUGUAGAUCCACAUCCCCUCCAUUUUUCUCCAUGUCCAAUGCCAGUAACUUGGCAUUAUUGGACUUUUAAAUUUUUGUCAGGCAUGUCAGUUUCACUUGUAUCUCACUGUGUUUUGAUUUGCAUUUCCACACUUAGUAAUAUGGUUGAACAUCCCUUUCAUGUUUACUGGUCACAUAUGUUUCUUUUGUUUUGAAAUUUCUGUUCAUGUCUUCUGGUCAUUUUUCAAUUGGGAUAAAAGUACUUUUAUGCUGAUAUGCAGGAACAGUGAUUUUUCUAAAUAAUAAAAAUCUUUCAAAAUUUAAA
ensembl:lncRNA LINC01516 long intergenic non-protein coding RNA 1516